rnacentral:rRNA from 1 species
AACUAUAUGAUAUUAUGUAUAGCUUUUUCUGCACAAUGUAAUAUAUGAAUUGCCGCAGUACUUUGACUGUGCUAAGGUAGCAUAAUCAUUUGGCUUAUAAUUGAAGUCUAGUAUGAAUGAAAUCAUGGGGGUUUACUGUUUCAAAAACGUAUUUUGAAUUUUUCUGGUUGGUGAAAAUGCCAACAAAUAUUUAAUAGACGAGAAGACCCUUGAAAUUUUUAAUAAAUCAUCUAUAUUUAGGAUAUGUUUUAGUUGGGGCGACAGAGUAGCAAAAAACCUACUUGAACUAUGUAAGCAUUAAGUAGUAUGGACAAAUAAAUUACUCUAGGGAUAACAGCAUAAUAUUAUAAAGUUUGUGACCUCGAUGUUGGACUAGGAUAAUAUAGCUUAGAAGGCUUUUAUUAUUGCUCUGUUCG